CCUACGGGGGGCAGCAGUGGGGGAUAUUGCACAAUGGGGGGAACCCUGAUGCAGCGACGCCGCGUGGGUGAAGGAGCGUUUCGGCGCGUAAAGCCCUAUCGGCAGGGAAGAAGAUGACGGUACCUGACCAAGAAGCCCCGGCUAACUACGUGCCAGCAGCCGCGGUAAUACGUAGGGGGCAAGCGUUAUCCGGAUUUACUGGGUGUAAAGGGGGCGCAGACGGCAAUGCAAGCCAGGAGUGAAAGCCCGGGGCCCAACCCCGGGACUGCUUUGGAAACUGUGCAGCUAGAGUGCAGGAGAGGUAAGUGGAAUUCCUAGUGUAGCGGUGAAAUGCGUAGAUAUUAGGAGGAACACCAGUGGCGAAGGCGGCUUACUGGACUGUAACUGACGUUGAGGCUCGAAAGCGUGGGGAGCAAACAGGAUUAGAUACCCUGGUAGUC
rnacentral:rRNA from 1 species